UGGUUAGAUCCAGGUUUUGGGAAAAUAUCAUACUAUUAUGAUAGAAAAUUGGCUGGAGACUUUUGUUAGGAUUUUGACCUCUAUAACUUCUUGUUAUGCUGCUUCAAAAAAGCAUGAUUUAAAUGUAAAGUACUAACUUCUAUCUUUUUCUGUCACUGCAUAUGCAGCCUUGGGAGACUAAGGAGCACCAAGCAGAGACUUGGUGGUCAAAAAACUGGAAAACAGUUCCACGAUAAGUACAACAGUCGUGGAGCCAGUUUGAGUCUGGUUCUUAGCUGCAUGAUGAAAAUGGCUUCAAAACUUGAGAUUAGGUUAUUUCUUAAUCAAAGAUUUGUUGUCAUUAUGUUGGUUUUUCAAUUUUAUUACUCUUAAUAAGGCUUGAUAAACUAGGCCAUGACUGGCUUUUGGAUUCCGUUCAAUGGAAAUAUUCGUCCAAAUCCUUGUCAUUUUUCAUAGAAGUGAAUGCUACACUCUGGUGAACUAAUACAUGUGUGUGCUACAUUGCUGUCUUCCUAGUUGAGAUUCUUGCUUUAAGCUUCCUCUAGGUGUUUAUGGUGAGAUUCAAGCUCGACCGAUUGGUUUGUAACAGAAAGUGGGGUGAUAUUUAUUUUAUCGUUCCUCGAAAUUCUCGUACUGCAC
rnacentral:lncRNA from 1 species